AGCUAAUAGAUACCCCGGUAGUCCACGCCCUAAACGAUGUCAACUGGCUUUACGGAGUAUCGACCCUCUGUGAGGCGAAAGCUAAACGCGUUAAGUUGACCGCCUGGGUAGUACGACCGCAAGGUUAAAACUCAAAGGAAUAGACGGGGGCUUGCACAAGCGGUGGAGCGUGUGGCUUAAUUCGUCGCUAAGCGAGGAACCUUACCAGGGCUAGAAAUCCUACUGCACGUCUAGCGAAAGCUAGAAAGCCUUCGAGGGUGUAGGACAGGUGAUGCAUGGCUGUCGUCAGUUCGUGGUUUGAAUCGUUCCCUUCAGUGGGGUAACGAACGCAACCCUCGUUGCCAGUUACAAGUGUCUGGCGAGACUGCCCCCUCACGGGGGAGGAAGGUGAGGAUGACGCCAAGUCAGCAUGUCCCUCUGAUGUCCUGGGCUGCACACGCGCUACAAUCGCCUUUACAAAGGGACGCAAUGCGGUAACGCGGAGCAAAUCCUAAAAAGAGGCGCCAGUUCGGAUUGGGGUCUGCAACCCGACCCCAUGAAGCCGGAAUCGCUA
rnacentral:rRNA from 1 species